rnacentral:rRNA from 1 species
GAUGAGCGCUGGCGGCGUGCCUAAUACAUGCAAGUCGAGCGAACAGACGAGGAGCUUGCUCCUCUGACGUUAGCGGCGGACGGGUGAGUAACACGUGGAUAACCUACCUAUAAGACUGGGAUAACUUCGGGAAACCGGAGCUAAUACCGGAUAAUAUAUUGAACCGCAUGGUUCAAUAGUGAAAGACGGUUUUGCUGUCACUUAUAGAUGGAUCCGCGCCGCAUUAGCUAGUUGGUAAGGUAACGGCUUACCAAGGCGACGAUGCGUAGCCGACCUGAGAGCGUGAUCGGCCACACUGGAACUGAGACACGGUCCAGACUCCUACGGGAGGCAGCAGUAGGGAAUCUUCCGCAAUGGGCGAAAGCCUGACGGAGCAACGCCGCGUGAGUGAUGAAGGUCUUCGGAUCGUAAAACUCUGUUAUUAGGGAAGAACAAAUGUGUAAGUAACUAUGCACGUCUUGACGGUACCUAAUCAGAAAGCCACGGCUAACUACGUG